ensembl:snoRNA Gm25272 predicted gene, 25272
GCUGCCCUAGAAGUGUUGCAGGUGUGGUUGCUGUGUCACAGGUGCAUCAGAAGAUGACACAGAGAGAGGCUAUGUCUAUAUUUAGUGUUCAGACCUGUGAACAUCUCAAUGAUUAGUAGUCUACCAGU